rnacentral:rRNA from 1 species
GACAGAGGGUGCAAACGUUGUUCGGAAUUACUGGGCGUAAAGCGUGUGUAGGUGGCUGCGCAAGUCGGAUGUGAAAGCCCUGGGCUCAACUCAGGAAGUGCACCCGAUACUGCGUAGCUCGAGUACCGGAGAGGUUGGUAGAAUUCUCGGUGUAGAGGUGAAAUUCGUAGAUAUCGAGAGGAAUACCUGUGGCGAAGGCGGCCAACUGGACGAGUACUGACACUGAGACACGAAAGCGUGGGGAGCAAACAGG